CAACCGCCGAGAAAAAAAAAGCAGAAGAGCUUUUUGAAUCUACCGGAUGUCGGUGUCUUAUGUGUGAGCCUUUCGAUUCUCAGUCUAAUACAGUUUUCCAUCACAGCAAGAACAUCAGAGGCGUGAGAGGACCAGGAUUACGAUGGAAAGCUGCAGGUCUGGAAAACAGUGCAGCUACGUUGACUCUGUGAAGGAAGAGAGUGAAGAAGAGCAGCAGCGGCUGGUGGUUAAAGAAGAGGUUCCUGAACUGAGCAGUUCUGGUUUGGACCAGCAGAACCUCUCAUGUUCCCAGGUGAAGAAGGAAGAAGAGGAACAGUGGAUCAGCCAUUCUGAGAAGAAUGAAGACGAAGAAAAACCUCAGUUGUCAGAGGUUCAUCACAUCAAACGUGAAGACAGCAGAGAGACAGAAGCUCCAACCAGCAGCUCAGCUGAACAGAUGAAAACAGAACCUGAUGGAGAGAUCAGUGGAGGACCAGAACCCAACAGAGAGCUGGAUUCAAAUCCUAAUUUACAGGCAAAUAUUGAAGAAAGGCAUUCAUCCUCUUCUGAGACUGAAGUCAGUGAUGAGAGCGAAGAUGAUAAUCUAUCAGGUUCUGAAUCUGAAAAUGAAGACGGUGAUGAAGAUUGGAGGGAACCCAGAACACGUCAGUCGGGUGUAAACAGCAAAGUGGGACGUAAAGCUGCCAAGAAGGCCUUCAGCUGCCCUGACUGUGGUAAACCGUUUGUGAGGAAGCAGAUGUUCCAGAAACAUAUGGCAGGUCAUUCAGGAGAAAAGUCUUCCAGCUGCUCGGUUGAGAAGAAUCACUCGAGAGGGAAGCGGAAUGGGGAUUCACAGACCAGACUCAAGCCAGGAAGGAAAUACUUUACUUGUAACAAUUGUGGUGAAAUCUUUAAGAAACUAGCUGCUCUUAAAUGUCAUAUCAGAAUCCAUUGUGGUGAAAAAUCAGUUGUUUGCAAAGAUUGUGGUAAAAUCUUUCACUCCCGGGAUCAUUUUAAAUCUCACCAGAGACUGCACACAGGAGAAAAACCCUUUGCCUGUGAUAAAUGUGGUAAAAGAUUUAGCCAGAAGCAUACCCUUAAAAAUCACAUGACAUGCCACACAGGAGAUAAACCAUUUCAGUGCGAGUUGUGUGAUAAAAAGUUAGUCUCAAAUGGAGGUCUGAAGACCCACAUGACCAUCCAUAAAGGAGUAAAACCAUUUGUGUGCAGCGACUGUGGCAGAUGCUUCAGACUUAAGAGCGAUCUAAAAGGCCACAUGACAACCCACUUAGACGUAAAAUCGUUUGGCUGUGGCUAUUGUGGCACUAGUUUUUCUCACAAAAGAAGUCUUCUCCAGCAUGUUAGACUCCACACUGGGAAGAACCUAUUGUCAUGUGAUAAAUGUGAUAAAAAGUUUGUCGGGAAGUAUUACCUUCUAAGACAUAUGCAAGUUCAUCUGAAACGGGAAAAAGCGGUGACCGGGAAGGGGAACUUUUCUUGUGUGGAAUGUGGGAAGAGGUUUCUCCAGGAGGCACAUGUGAAAAGCCACAUGGUGAUUCACACAGGAGAGAAACCAUUUAGCUGUGGUUUUUGUGGCGCCAAAUUUACUCACAAGAGAAGUAUGCUGCGGCAUGUCAGACUCCACACUGGGGAGAAUCUUCUGUCAUGUGAUAAAUGUGAUAAAAAGUUUGCUCGGAACUAUUAUCUUCUCAGACAUAUGCGGGUUCAUGCGAAAGAGGAGAAAGUGGUGACUGGUAAGGGGAACUUUGCUUGUAAAGAGUGGUGAAGAAGGCAGUAUGCAAAAAAAAUUGCAUGGUUGUUCACACGGGAGAGAAAACAUUUAUCUGUGACCUUUGUUUGAAGAAGUUUGCACGAGUGGAAGGCUGGAGGAUGAACAAGGCUCACGGUGGGGGUGCAUAUUUCUACCCAAAACAGGCAGUGGACUUUAAGUUUAAUUUAGUCUUUUGUGUAUUGCUAUUUUUGAAUAAAUGCAGAAAAUGAUCAAUUUAUUGUUUCUGUAAAGCGUCUGAAGGACAAAAUGUGACAAAAUUGCGUAAAAGAAUUAGCUCCCCAAUUUUUAAAGUUUAUUUUAUGUCAAACAUAUUUUGUCUUGUUAAUUUUUCUUGCGCUAAAUGGAGGCCAUUUCCCCAUAAAGCUUAAUUCUUUCCAUGCUUGGACACAGCACUCUGUGAAUAACCAGCUUCUUCAGCAAUGACGUUUUGAGGUUUAUGCUCCUUGUGGACGGUUUCGACGUCUGUUUUCUGAACGUCUGUCCAGUCAGCAGUCUUCCUCGUGAAUGUGUAGUUCACUAAUGCAAACUGAGAGACCAUUUAGGGGCUCAAAAAGCCUUAGUGGGUAUUUCAUGUAAUUCAUGUGAGAUGCCAGGAUUUUUUUUUAUAUUGAACUACUUUGCAAUUUUCAAAUUUUCUGAAACACUAAAUUUGGGGUUUUCGUGAUCUGUAAGCUCAUCACAAUUACAAGAAAUAAAUGGUUGAAAUAUUUCAGUCUCUGUAAGGACUUUAUAUAAGUGAGUUUCCCUUCCUGAAAUAACUGACUAAAAUAUUGAACUGUAUAUCUCCGUUUUCAAUCCAUCCUCUUUUCAAAACAUCUGAAUGUUGUAUUAACCAACUGACUCCAGCAGAUGGCAGCAGUGUGUGGCUGUGCAGACGCCUGACCAAAAUCCAUAUAAGGUCCAUAACUAUCUAAAUCUACCGGAGUGUGAGCUUUUCGAUUCACAGCGUAACCCUCUUUUCCAUUAAAGCCAGAACAUCGGGGCCGUGUGUGGACCAAAAUUACGAUGGAAAGUUGCAGAUUUGGAGAACAAUCCAGCUUCGAUGACUCUGUGAAGAAAAAGAGGGAAGAAGAGCAGCAGCUGCUUGUGGUUAAAGAAGAGGUUCCUGAUCUGAGCAGUUCCAGUUUGGACCAGCAGAACUUCACAUGUUCCCAGGUGAAGAAGGAAGAGGAGGAACAAUGGAUCAGUCAGGACAUAUAUCAGCUUACUGUGAAGAAAGAAGAUGAUGAGAAACCUGAAUUGUCAGAGGUUUAUCACAUCAAAAGUGAAGACAGCAGAGAGACAGAAGCUCCAACCAGCAGCUCAGCUGAACAGAUGAAAACAGAACCUGAUGGAGAGAUCAGUGGAGGAUCAGAACCCAACAGAGAGCUGGAUUCAAAUCCUAAUUUACAGGCAAAUAUUGAAGAAAGGCAUUCAUCCUCUUCUGAGACUGAAGUCAGUGAUGAGAGCGAAGAUGAUAAUCUAUCAGGUUCUGAAUCUGAAAAUGAAGACAGUGAUGAAGAUUGGAGGGAACCCAGAACACGUCAGUCUGGUGUAAACAGCAAAGUGGGACGUAAAGCUGCCAAGAAGGCCUUCAGCUGCCCUGACUGUGGUAAACAGUUUGUGAGGAAGCAGAUGUUCCAGAAACAUAUGGCAGGUCAUUCAAGAGAAAAGUCUUCCAGCUGCUCGGUUGAGAAGAAUCACUCCUGCAGGAAGCAAAACAGUGAUACGAAGAUGGGACUCGAACCAGGCAGAAAAUCCUUUUCUUGUGACGAUUGUGGAAAAACAUUUCAGAAAGCUUAUAGUCUUAAAUGUCAUAUGAAAAUCCAUCGUGGUGAAAACUUAGUUGUUUGUAAAGAUUGUGGUAAAAACUUUCACUCUCAAGAACAUUUUAAAUAUCACCUGACACUCCACACAGGAGAAAGACCCUUUGCCUGUGAUAAAUGUGGCAAAACAUUUAGCCAUAAGUGUAGCCUUAAAAUGCACAUGACUUGCCACUCAGGAGAACAACCAUUUCAGUGUGAGCUAUGUCAUAAAAAGUUUACCUCAAAUGGAAGUCUGAAGAACCACAUGACCAUCCAUAAGGGAGAAAAACCAUUUGCAUGCAGCGUCUGUGGCAGAUGUUUCAGACUUAAGAGUGAUCUAAAAGGCCACAUGAUAAUCCACUUUGAUGUAAAACCGUUUGUCUGUGGGUACUGUGGUGCCAGUUUUACUCGGAAACAAAGUUUUCUUUGGCAUGAUAGACUUCACACUGGAGAGAAACUCCUGUCAUGUGAUAAAUGUGAUAAAAAGUUUGCUCGGAAGUCUCACCUUCAAAGACAUGUCCUGAUCCAUGCGGGAAAGAAGAAACCGGUUUCUCAAAUCAAAAAGUUUGCUUGUAAGGAAUGUGGAAAAAGGUUUCUUGAAAAUUAUCAAGUAAGACGACACAUGGUUAUUCACAUCGGAGAGAAACCGUUUAGCUGCAAUCUUUGUUCAAAGACGUUUGCACGAGCGGAAGGAGUAAAGAUGCAUAAUAAAAGAAUUCACUUUAAAUAGAGAUUUCACACUUAAACUUUAUGUGUGGCAUAAAGUUCAUUUUAUGUCAAACAUAUUUGGAGUUAAUUCAAUAAUUCUCGUGAGACAACAUGAACCUUUAAUAUUGAACUUCUUUGCAAUUUUCUGAGACACUGAAUUUUGGAUUUUCAUGAUCUGUAAGCUCAUCACAAUUACAAGAAAUAAAUGGUUCAAAUAUUUCACUCUCUGUAAGGAAUUCACUUUAGAUUCCUGAGUAAGGAAUUUAAAGUGCAAGGAAUUUACACUUAAUUUACACUUGACUCACUUAUACCUGAGUAAAGGUAUAAGUGAGUUUUCCUUCCUGAAAUAACUGAUUAAUAUAUUCAACUUCCACUUUAAAAACAUCUGAAUGUUGUGUUAACCAAAUGACUCCAGCAGAUGGCAGCAGUGAGACACAUGGCAGUGUGUGGUUGUGCAGAUGCCUGACCAAAAUCCAUUUAAGGUCCAUAACUAAAUCUACCGGAGUGUGAGCUUUUUGAUUCACAGUGUAACCCUAUUUUCCAUUAAACAUUAGGGACGUGUGUGGACCAAAAUUACGAUGGAAAUUUGUAGAUCUGGAGAACAAUCCAGCUUCGUGUCAUUUAUGGUCACAAGAUCAUAAAUGACGCGAGAGUUUUCUAAGUAACGUAGCACUAUAUUUAAGUUUAAUCAUGGUGUUUUUUUUUUUGUUUUUUUGUUGUUUUUGUUUGUUUAAUCACAUAAAUUCCCGGCAUUUGGGGGUUUAAUCUGUCCCACACUGACAUCCCUUGCUCACACAAUUUGUGGAACAUGCAGCAGAGCAGACAAAUACAAUCUGCAUCACCUUGACUGGAUUUUUAAAAUGAACUCCUGCAGAGCGGCAAAGACAUAACAGUGUCCUGCUAUAAAGCGAUGGUGCGCUGAAAUCAUUUGAUUAUCCUGCAGUUCCAAAUUCCUGUUGCUGUUGGGGAAUAUUUCUAAUCUAUAUUUUUACUAGUUAAAUAUUUUUUAGAUAUUCCAAAUAUUUGACAAACAAUGUCUUCUAUCAUGUUUCGUAAAUCACAUUGCAAAUAACAGUGUGUUAUACGACUUUGUUAUGAUGUAAAGCAUUUUGAAAUGCCUUUUUGCUGAAGUGUCCUCUAAUAAAAUUUGAACGAUUGUUUCAUUG